GGAGAUGACGGGAGUGGUGGAAGACCUGACGGCGGAGAGGGAGGAGAAGGAGGAGAUGGCGGCGGAGGACGAAGAAACGGCGGCGGAGAGAGGAGCGGGGGAGGUUGGAGGAGGGCGUAUUUGGUCGUUGGAAACUGCCGAAUUGGACAGCAGUCAGGAGGAUGCUGACCCAGGGAUGCUCGAGGGCACGGAUGCGGCUAGAGGUGAGAGAGGUCGAGGAGAAGAGGAGGUUGAAGGAGGAGGGGCGUGGAAAGGACACGACCGGAACGAUGAGGGGCGUGUCUUCCAGCUGAGUGCAGGUGACGAGGAGACGGAGGAGAGUCGGCAGGGGAGCAGCGAGGAGAUGGAUAUUAGCGAGGAGGUAAUAAGACAGCUGAAGAGGAAGAAAAAAGGAAAGGAGAAGACUUCCGUGAAAAAGUAAAAGAGGGGAGGAAAGGGUUUUUUUAAAGAGAAGAGGAGAAGACAGGCUGAGGAGAUGAGAAAAGAGAAGAGAAAAAUCAGAGUGGAGGAGAGGAGAGGAGGUGGAGGGCAACAUGACAUGUAAACCCUCUCAUCUAAAAGAGAGGAGAAAAAUGAGGGAAGAGACAUGAAGAGAUGAGGAAAAAAGACGAGAGGGGAGGAGAGGAGAGGAGAGAGAGGAGAGGAGGUGGAGGACAAUAUGAAAAGUGAACUGUCACCAUCAAAAAGAAAAACAUCUGUUUAUGUCAUACUGUCUACAUGAUACACAGGAAGAAUCCUUCUGUUCACAUUUAUUCACUGAAAAUGUAACUAUUAUCCCCCCAUCUGCAUUUUUUAGAAAGAGGAGAGGAGACACGAUUGAGGAAGAGAGUGAGGAGACGAGAAAAGGAAAGAAAAGAGGAAAAUCAGAGUGGAGGAGAGGAGGUGGAGGGCAUUAUAAAGUGGAAACCCUCUCAUGUAAAAGUGAGAUAAUGACAGAGGAGGUGGAGAGGAGAGGAGAGGAAGUGGAUGUGGAGAAGAGAGGAGGUGGAGGACAUUACGAAGAAUGAACACUCACAUAUAAAAGCCAAGAAAACUCUGACCUGCCACUUCACAAACUACAAGUGAAACAUGUUUCUACAAAGAUUUUUCUCAUGUUCAAACUGUUCAAAACCAAGUGUUUGAAAUACAAAGUGACAACAAAAAGUGUGUUUUGUGAUUACAUUUCUAAAGACUUGUGACUUGAUUUAGAUUAUUGUAUACUGAUUAUAGUGAUUACUGAUACUGAUUUAGAUUACUGUCAACAGUUUUUAUUGGAACUACUUUCUUCUGCAGAAAUAGUAAUAUUACCUGAGGUCAUUUUACAGUCAGUUGUGUACAACAACACAGUGUUAUGGAGGUUUACAUAAGUAAAUGAUUUGAGUAUUUUAUCCACAUACUCACAAUUUAUUUACAUUAAUUACAUGACCACAAAGAAGUGAUUUGAGUGUAUUAAAAAGGUUAAAUGAAGGUAGUUUUAUUUGUU